rnacentral:rRNA from 1 species
CCGCGACCCUCCCGGCCUCCCGCCUCCGGGCGGGUCGGCGCCCGCCGGAGGAUAACCAAACUCUGAUUUAACGACGUUUCUUCUGAGUGGUACAAGCAAAUAAUCAAAACUUUUAACAACGGAUCUCUUGGUUCUGGCAUCGAUGAAGAACGCAGCGAAAUGCGAUAAGUAAUGUGAAUUGCAGAAUUCAGUGAAUCAUCGAAUCUUUGAACGCACAUUGCGCCCGCCAGCAUUCUGGCGGGCAUGCCUGUUCGAGCGUCAUUUCAACCCUCAAGCUCUGCUUGGUGUUGGGGCCCUACAGCUGAUGUAGGCCCUCAAAGGUAGUGGCGGACCCUCCCGGAGCCUCCUUUGCGUAGUAACUUUACGUCUCGCACUGGGAUCCGGAGGGACUCUUGCCGUAAAACCCCCAAUUUUCCAAAGGUUGACCUCGGAUCAGGUAGGAAUACCCGCUGAACUUAAGCAUAUC